AGUAAUGUCUGGGAAACUGCCCGAUGGAGGGGGAUAACUACUGGAAACGGUAGCUAAUACCGCAUAAUGUCUGCGGACCAAAGAGGGGGACCUUCGGGCCUCUUGCCAUCGGAUGUGCCCAGAUGGGAUUAGCUAGUAGGUGGGGUAAUGGCUCACCUAGGCGACGAUCCCUAGCUGGUCUGAGAGGAUGAUCAGCCACACUGGGACUGAGACACGGCCCAG
rnacentral:rRNA from 1 species